rnacentral:rRNA from 1 species
CCAGACUCCUACGGGAGGCAGCAGUGGGGAAUAUUGCACAAUGGGGGAAACCCUGAUGCAGCAACGCCGCGUGAGUGAAGAAGUAUCUCGGUACGUAAAGCUCUAUCAGCAGGGAAGAAAAUGACGGUACCUGACUAAGAAGCCCCGGCUAACUACGUGCCAGCAGCCGCGGUAAUACGUAGGGGGCAAGCGUUAUCCGGAUUUACUGGGUGUAAAGGGAGCGUAGACGGCAGCACAAGUUUGGAGUGAAAUCCCGGGGCUUAACCCCGGAACUGCUUUGGAAACUGUGGAACUGGAGUGCUGGAGAGGCAAGCGGAAUUCCUAGUGUAGCGGUGAAAUGCGUAGAUAUUAGGAGGAACACCAGUGGCGAAGGCGGCUUGCUGGACAGUAACUGACGUUGAGGCUCGAAAGCGUGGGGAGCAAACAGGAUUAGAUAUCCCCGUAC